CGGUGAGUAAAGUGGCGUACGGGUGAGUAACACGUGGAUAAUCUACCCUGGAGUGGGGAAUAACGCUGGGAAACCGGCGCUAAUACCGCAUAAUCCCGAGAGGGCAAAGGAAGCAAUUUCGCUUCAGGAGGAGUCCGCGGCCGAUUAGCUAGUUGGCAGGGUAAAAGCCUACCAAGGCAACGAUCGGUAGCCGGCCUGAGAGGGCACACGGCCACACUGGCACUGAAACACGGGCCAG
rnacentral:rRNA from 1 species